rnacentral:rRNA from 1 species
GACGAACGCUGGCGGCGUGCUUAACACAUGCAAGUCGAACGAUGAUCCCGUGCUUGCACGGGGGAUUAGUGGCGAACGGGUGAGUAACACGUGAGUAACCUGCCCUCCACUCUGGGAUAAGCGCUGGAAACGGCGUCUAAUACUGGAUAGGACACCUGCCUGCAUGGGUGUGGUGUGGAAAGAUUUUUUGGUGGUGGAUGGACUCGCGGCCUAUCAGCUUGUUGGUGGGGUAAUGGCCUACCAAGGCGACGACGGGUAGCCGGCCUGAGAGGGUGACCGGCCACACUGGGACUGAGACACGGCCCAGACUCCUACGGGAGGCAGCAGUGGGGAAUAUUGCACAAUGGGCGGAAGCCUGAUGCAGCGACGCCGCGUGAGGGAUGACGGCCUUCGGGUUGUAAACCUCUUUCAGCUCUGACGAAGCUUGUGUGACGGUAGGAGCAGAAGAAGCACCGGCUAACUACGUGCCAGCCGCCGCCGUAACAC